rnacentral:rRNA from 1 species
UACGAAGGGGGCUAGCGUUGUUCGGAAUUACUGGGCGUAAAGGGCGCGUAGGCGGCCUGCUAAGUCGAACGUGAAAUCCCCGGGCUCAACCCGGGAACUGCGUCCGAUACUGGCUGGGCUUGAAUCCGGGAGAGGGAUGUGGAAUUCCAGGUGUAGCGGUGAAAUGCGUAGAUAUCGGGAGGAACACCUGUGGCGAAGGCGGCUUUCUGGGCCUUACCUGACGCUGAGACGCGAAA